rnacentral:misc_RNA from 1 species
CUCUGACCACCACCGCCGGUAACCCCUCAUCAGCCGCUCUUCUUUUCCAGUUUGAUCCGUUGAACAGUUCCGAAGAAAUCCCUCCAAGUUAAGUUCUCAGCAAGUAACCAGUCACCAUAGACAUUUUGGUAAGUGAGCUUGUAACGUUCUGAAUCCGUUUCAUCAAACAUGUUCAUCAAAGUGGCUCUAAGCGCAUCAAAAGAAUGGUAUUGGCUCAAAUCAACCUUCCUAGCAAUUCCCACUCCUUCCAUCUUCACCUUCA